AUUGAACGCUGGCGGCAUGCUUUACACAUGCAAGUCGAACGGCAGCGCGGGCUUCGGCCUGGCGGCGAGUGGCGAACGGGUGAGUAAUACAUCGGAACGUGCCCAGUAGUGGGGGAUAGCUCGGCGAAAGCCGGAUUAAUACCGCAUACGACCUGAGGGUGAAAGCGGGGGAUCUUCGGACCUCGCGCUAUUGGAGCGGCCGAUGGCAGAUUAGCUAGUUGGUGGGGUAAAGGCCUACCAAGGCGACGAUCUGUAGCUGGUCUGAGAGGACGACCAGCCACACUGGGACUGAGGAACGGCCCAGACUCCUACGGGAGGCAGCAGUGGGGAAUUUUGGACAAAGGGCGAAAGCCUGAUCCAGCAAUGCCGCGUGUGUGAUGAAGGCCUUCGGGUUGUAAAGCACUUUUGGCGGGAACGAAAAGGACUGUGCCAAUACCACGGUUCGAUGACGGUACCCGCAGAAUAAGCACCGGCUAACUACGUG
rnacentral:rRNA from 1 species